ACACACAGUGGAUGUAGUCUUUGAAUUAUUGUCUAGUUUUAAAUACUUUACUUUCACCUUGAUAGAAGAAUGGUGAUUAAGAUGAGCGUAGGAUUCCUGAAAACUCUACCUCCUUUUCCUAA